AUGCAGUCGAACGGCAGCGCGGGGCAACCUGGCGGCGAGUGGCGAACGGGUGAGUAAUAUAUCGGAACGUACCCAGAAGUGGGGGAUAACGUAGCGAAAGUUACGCUAAUACCGCAUACGAUCUACGGAUGAAAGUGGGGGACCUUCGGGCCUCAUGCUUUUGGAGCGGCCGAUAUCUGAUUAGCUAGUUGGUAGGGUAAAGGCCUACCAAGGCAACGAUCAGUAGCUGGUCUGAGAGGACGACCAGCCACACUGGAACUGAGACACGGUCCAGACUCCUACGGGAGGCAGCAGUGGGGAAUUUUGGACAAUGGGCGCAAGCCUGAUCCAGCAAUGCCGCGUGAGUGAAGAAGGCCUUCGGGUUGUAAAGCUCUUUUGUCAGGGAAGAAACGGUUGGGGCUAAUAUCCCCGGCUAAUGACGGUACCUGAAGAAUAAGCACCGGCUAACUACGUGCCAGCAGCCGCGGUAAUACGUAGGGUGCAAGCGUUAAUCGGAAUUACUGGGCGUAAAGCGUGCGCAGGCGGUUUUGUAAGUCUGUCGUGAAAGCCCCGGGCUCAACCUGGGAAUUGCGAUGGAGACUGCAAGGCUUGAAUCUGGCAGAGGGGGGUAGAAUUCCACGUGUAGCAGUGAAAUGCGUAGAGAUGUGGAGGAACACCGAUGGCGAAGGCAGCCCCCUGGGUCAAGAUUGACGCUCAUGCACGAAAGCGUGGGGAGCAAACAGGAUUAGAUACCCUGGUAGUCCACGCCCUAAACGAUGUCUACUAGUUGUC
rnacentral:rRNA from 1 species